rnacentral:lncRNA from 1 species
CCUCCGUCUCCAUACGGUGUUCAAACCAGGUUGACUUCUACAUAAUACCAAAUACAUCUAUUCCAAUAUCUAUCUCCCUCUUCACAUCUCCUUCCGCUCCUCUCUACUCCAAUGAACCAUGCCGUGUCUGCAUCUAUCGGACUUGCACCUUCGGUCUCUGUAUCGUGUUCCAUUUGCUAUGUAUUGGUUUCUCAUCAGUUUUAUUUUCUGAUUGUUUUGUGUUUUGAUUCUUCUGUAGAGAAACGAAAAGCAGGAUCUGAAGAAGCUGUGGUGUGGUGUGGAGAUGUCAAAGGAAGGUAGCGGUGGUGGUGGUAAUGGAGCCGAGCAAGAAGAAGAAGAAGAGAAAGGCGGAGAAGAAGAGAAGACAGAGAUGCGAGGAGGAUGGAGUCGGAAGAUGACGACGGCUGCGUAGAUUAGGUUUUGGUUUAUUAGUUUUGGUUUAGUUAGGUGUUGGUUUAAUCUGUUUUAGUUUUUGGUUUAAUGUAUUCUGGUUUAUUAAUUUUUUUUAUCCUGAUUUAGUUUUAUACUUAAUUGAAAUCUAAUUUUAAUUAAUAAAUCAAUUUCAUUUUUAAUUAAAAAAUUAAUUUUCGAUUUUUUUCAUAUUUUUUAUUAAUUAAUUUUAUUUUUUCCUAACUAAUUUGCUAAUUUAUUAUUUUAAAGAAUACGCUUUAUGAAUUUAUAUAUAAUUAAAAACAUUUUUUUAAUCAUGUAAAAUUUAUAUGUUAUGUUAAAUAUUAAAUGGACGUAUUACAAAAUAAUCAACCAAUCAUAUUCUUUUUUUUUUACACAUCAGAUGGGCCUCAACGUGUGGGCUUCGUCCUACUUCUGCUGUUCACGUUUGAGCUUGGUCUAGCAACUCUUUUCAGCUCCGGGUCCGUUAUCCCCGAAGACUUCGACCUCUCUAUCGACUUCCCCUUCUUGAUAUCGUAUAGGUUGUUCUUUGUCGCCGUCGCGUGUGAGGCGCUGUAGCUCCUGAAGUCUCCGGCUCUUGGACCCCCGUCGUAAGGCUGGAUCUGCAUCCCUCCGUCUCCAUACGGUGUUCAAACCAGGUUGACUUCUACAUAAUACCAAAUACAUCUAUUCCAAUAUCUAUCUCCCUCUUCACAUCUCCUUCCGCUCCUCUCUACUCCAAUGAACCAUGCCGUGUCUGCAUCUAUCGGACUUGCACCUUCGGUCUCUGUAUCGUGUUCCAUUUGCUAUGUAUUGGUUUCUCAUCAGUUUUAUUUUCUGAUUGUUUUGUGUUUUGAUUCUUCUGUAGAGAAACGAAAAGCAGGAUCUGAAGAAGCUGUGGUGUGGUGUGGAGAUGUCAAAGGA